rnacentral:rRNA from 1 species
UUCUUUUUCCACCGGAGCUUGCUCCACCGGAAAAAGAAGAGUGGCGAACGGGUGAGUAACACGUGGGUAACCUGCCCAUCAGAAGGGGAUAACACUUGGAAACAGGUGCUAAUACCGUAUAACAAUCGAAACCGCAUGGUUUUGAUUUGAAAGGCGCUUUCGGGUGUCGCUGAUGGAUGGACCCGCGGUGCAUUAGCUAGUUGGUGAGGUAACGGCUCACCAAGGCCACGAUGCAUAGCCGACCUGAGAGGGUGAUCGGCCACAUUGGGACUGAGACACGGCCCAAACUCCUACGGGAGGCAGCAGUAGGGAAUCUUCGGCAAUGGACGAAAGUCUGACCGAGCAACGCCGCGUGAGUGAAGAAGGUUUUCGGAUCGUAAAACUCUGUUGUUAGAGAAGAACAAGGAUGAGAGUAACUGUUCAUCCCUUGACGGUAUCUAACCAGAAAGCCACGGCUAACUACGUGCCAGCAGCCGCGGUAAUACGUAGGUGGCAAGCGUUGUCCGGAUUUAUUGGGCGUAAAGCGAGCGCAGGCGGUUUCUUAAGUCUGAUGUGAAAGCCCCCGGCUCAACCGGGGAGGGUCAUUGGAAACUGGGAGACUUGAGUGCAGAAGAGGAGAGUGGAAUUCCAUGUGUAGCGGUGAAAUGCGUAGAUAUAUGGAGGAACACCAGUGGCGAAGGCGGCUCUCUGGUCUGUAACUGACGCUGAGGCUCGAAAGCGUGGGGAGCAAACAGGAUUAGAUACCCUGGUAGUCCACGCCGUAAACGAUGAGUGCUAAGUGUUGGAGGGUUUCCGCCCUUCAGUGCUGCAGCUAACGCAUUAAGCACUCCGCCUGGGGAGUACGACCGCAAGGUUGAAACUCAAAGGAAUUGACGGGGGCCCGCACAAGCGGUGGAGCAUGUGGUUUAAUUCGAAGCAACGCGAAGAACCUUACCAGGUCUUGACAUCCUUUGACCACUCUAGAGAUAGAGCUUCCCCUUCGGGGGCAAAGUGACAGGUGGUGCAUGGUUGUCGUCAGCUCGUGUCGUGAGAUGUUGGGUUAAGUCCCGCAACGAGCGCAACCCUUAUUGUUAGUUGCCAUCAUUUAGUUGGGCACUCUAGCAAGACUGCCGGUGACAAACCGGAGGAAGGUGGGGAUGACGUCAAAUCAUCAUGCCCCUUAUGACCUGGGCUACACACGUGCUACAAUGGGAAGUACAACGAGUCGCGAAGUCGCGAGGCUAAGCUAAUCUCUUAAAGCUUCUCUCAGUUCGGAUUGUAGGCUGCAACUCGCCUACAUGAAGCCGGAAUCGCUAGUAAUCGCGGAUCAGCACGCCGCGGUGAAUACGUUCCCGGGCCUUGUACACACCGCCCGUCACACCACGAGAGUUUGUAACACCCGAAGUCGGUGAGGUAACCUUUUGGAGCCAGCCGC